rnacentral:rRNA from 1 species
UACGAAGGGUGCAAGCGUUACUCGGAAUUACUGGGCGUAAAGCGUGCGUAGGUGGUGAGUUAAGUCUGUCGUGAAAGCCCCGGGCUCAACCUGGGAAUGGCGAUGGAUACUGGCUCGCUAGAGUGCGGUAGAGGAGAGUGGAAUUCCCGGUGUAGCAGUGAAAUGCGUAGAGAUCGGGAGGAACAUCAGUUGCGAAGGCGGCUCUCUGGACCAGCACUGACACUGAGGCACGAAAAGCGUGGGGAGCAAACAGG